rnacentral:rRNA from 1 species
UAAGGGCGCACGGUGGAUGCCUUGGCACUAGAAGCCGAUGAAGGACGUUACUAACGACGAUAUGCUUUGGGGAGCUGUAAGUAAGCUUUGAUCCAGAGAUUUCCGAAUGGGGAAACCCAGCAUGAGUUAUGUCAUGUUAUCGAUAUGUGAAUACAUAGCAUAUCAGAAGGCACACCCGGAGAACUGAAACAUCUUAGUACCCGGAGGAAGAGAAAGAAAAUUCGAUUCCCUUAGUAGCGGCGAGCGAAACGGGAAGAGCCCAAACCAACAAGCUUGCUUGUUGGGGUUGUAGGACACUCUAUACGGAGUUACAAAGGACGACAUUAGACGAAUCAUCUGGAAAGAUGAAUCAAAGAAGGUAAUAAUCCUGUAGUCGAAAAUGUUGUCUCUCUUGAGUGGAUCCUGAGUACGACGGAGCACGUGAAAUUCCGUCGGAAUCUGGGAGGACCAUCUCCUAAGGCUAAAUACUCUCUAGUGACCGAUAGUGAACCAGUACCGUGAGGGAAAGGUGAAAAGCACCCCGGAAGGGGAGUGAAAUAGAACCUGAAACCGUGUGCUUACAAGUAGUCAGAGCCCGUUAAUGGGUGAUGGCGUGCCUUUUGUAGAAUGAACCGGCGAGUUACGAUUUGAUGCAAGGUUAAGCAGUAAAUGUGGAGCCGUAGCGAAAGCGAGUCUGAAUAGGGCGUUUAGUAUUUGGUCGUAGACCCGAAACCAGGUGAUCUACCCUUGGUCAGGUUGAAGUUCAGGUAACACUGAAUGGAGGACCGAACCGACUUACGUUGAAAAGUGAGCGGAUGAACUGAGGGUAGCGGAGAAAUUCCAAUCGAACCUGGAGAUAGCUGGUUCUCUCCGAAAUAGCUUUAGGGCUAGCCUCAAGUGAUGAUUAUUGGAGGUAGAGCACUGUUUGGACGAGGGGCCCCUCUCGGGUUACCGAAUUCAGACAAACUCCGAAUGCCAAUUAAUUUAACUUGGGAGUCAGAACAUGGGUGAUAAGGUCCGUGUUCGAAAGGGAAACAGCCCAGACCACCAGCUAAGGUCCCAAAAUAUAUGUUAAGUGGAAAAGGAUGUGGCGUUGCCCAGACAACUAGGAUGUUGGCUUAGAAGCAGCCAUCAUUUAAAGAGUGCGUAAUAGCUCACUAGUCGAGUGACACUGCGCCGAAAAUGUACCGGGGCUAAACAUAUUACCGAAGCUGUGGAUUGUCCUUUGGACAAUGGUAGGAGAGCGUUCUAAGGGCGUUGAAGCAUGAUCGUAAGGACAUGUGGAGCGCUUAGAAGUGAGAAUGCCGGUGUGAGUAGCGAAAGACGGGUGAGAAUCCCGUCCACCGAUUGACUAAGGUUUCCAGAGGAAGGCUCGUCCGCUCUGGGUUAGUCGGGUCCUAAGCUGAGGCCGACAGGCGUAGGCGAUGGAUAACAGGUUGAUAUUCCUGUACCACCUAUAAUCGUUUUAAUCGAUGGGGGGACGCAGUAGGAUAGGCGAAGCGUGCGAUUGGAUUGCACGUCUAAGCAGUAAGGCUGAGUAUUAGGCAAAUCCGGUACUCAUUAAGGCUGAGCUGUGAUGGGGAGAAGACAUUGUGUCUUCGAGUCGUUGAUUUCACACUGCCGAGAAAAGCCUCUAGAUAGAAAAUAGGUGCCCGUACCGCAAACCGACACAGGUAGUCAAGAUGAGAAUUCUAAGGUGAGCGAGCGAACUCUCGUUAAGGAACUCGGCAAAAUGACCCCGUAACUUCGGGAGAAGGGGUGCUCUUUAGGGUUAACGCCCAGAAGAGCCGCAGUGAAUAGGCCCAAGCGACUGUUUAUCAAAAACACAGGUCUCUGCUAAACCGUAAGGUGAUGUAUAGGGGCUGACGCCUGCCCGGUGCUGGAAGGUUAAGAGGAGUGGUUAGCUUCUGCGAAGCUACGAAUCGAAGCCCCAGUAAACGGCGGCCGUAACUAUAACGGUCCUAAGGUAGCGAAAUUCCUUGUCGGGUAAGUUCCGACCCGCACGAAAGGCGUAACGAUUUGGGCACUGUCUCAACGAGAGACUCGGUGAAAUCAUAGUACCUGUGAAGAUGCAGGUUACCCGCGACAGGACGGAAAGACCCCGUGGAGCUUUACUGUAGCCUGAUAUUGAAAUUCGGCACAG